UACGAACCGAGCGAACGUUGUUCGGAAUCACUGGGCUUAAAGGGCGCGUAGGCGGGUGCUCAAGUCUGUGGUGAAAUCCUCCGGCUCAACCGGAGAACUGCCAUGGAUACUGGGUGCCUCGAGGGUGAUAGGGGUAUGCGGAACUAUCGGUGGAGCGGUGAAAUGCGUUGAUAUCGAUAGGAACUCCGGUGGCGAAGGCGGCAUACUGGAUCACUUCUGACGCUGAGGCGCGAAAGCCAGGGGAGCGAACGGG
rnacentral:rRNA from 1 species